rnacentral:rRNA from 1 species
UGAGGAAUAUUGCGCAAUGGGGGAAACNCUGACGCAGCAACGCCGCGUGGGUGAAGAAGGCCUUCGGGUCGUAAAGCCCUUUCAGACGGGACGAACGUCGGCCGGGGACAACCCGGUCGAUCUGACGGUACCGUAAGAAGAAGCACCGGCUAACUCCGUGCCAGCAGCCGCGGUAAUACGGAGGGUGCAAGCGUUGUUCGGAAUUACUGGGCGUAAAGCGCGUGUAGGCGGUCUUGCAAGCCAGACGUGAAAGCCCUCGGCUUAACCGGGGAAGUGCGUCUGAAACGGCAGGACUUGAGUACGGGAGAGGGAGGCGGAAUUCCCAGUGUAGAGGUGACAUUCGUAGAUAUUGGGAGGAACACCGGUGGCGAAAGCGGCCUCCUGGACCGAUACUGACGCUGAGACGCGAAAGCGUGGGGAGCAAACAGGAUUAGAUACCCUGGUAGUCCACGCUGUAAACGAUGGACACUAGGUGUGGGGGGUAUCCACUCCUCCCGUGCCGCAGCUAACGCAUUAAGUGUCCCGCCUGGGGAGUACGGCCGCAAGGUUA